GACAGGAUGAGAAGUGAGGCCGAUAAGGCUAAGGUGCUCCUUGUGUUCAGGGAGGUUUUUGGGAAACUCUAUGAGCCUUACUGCAACUCCAGAAACUUCCAGAUCACUCCUCUCAAUGUGCAGGUGGGCUUCUCUGUUCUGCAACGCAGCGCUGGAGCCCCAGUGGCUCUGGACCCCC